GCCUCGUGUUAGAAAUUAUUAUUCUUAUGACCAAAUAUUAUUUUACAUUAAUUUUUCAGGCAUCCAGGAGGGGGGUCAUGUGACUUCGUCAUAUAAGGUGUCAACAGGUUUAGCAAGAAAAACAAGCAGUGCUGAAUUAAAAUGUUGAUGGUCAAGGAUAUAUUAUUAUUUCUAAGGGUUAUACUGGGAGCAGUAUA